CCAUGUAGGGGAGCAGGUGCCUUAAAGUCUGGCUUCGCCCCCAAAAGGGCCUGAUUUUGCUCCUCUGUCACUGAUGUAAAUGGAGAACAAUUCCUCUGAAAUUUGAAAGAGAGAGACACGUUUUCCUGCUUUAACGCUGUGACAUUACCCAGGGUACAAUCUGGACUGUUGAACAGAUGUGUCCCCUCAGUUCUCCAACCUGGGGUGCC